rnacentral:rRNA from 1 species
GAUGAACGCUGGCGGUAUGCUUAACACAUGCAAGUCGAACGGACUCUUCGGAGUUAGUGGCGGACGGGUGAGUAACGCGUGAGAAUCUGGCUUUGGGUUCGGGACAACCACUGGAAACGGUGGCUAAUAUCGGAUGUGCCGAGAGGUAAAAGAGAAAUUGCCUGAAGAUGAGCUCGCGUCUGAUUAGCUAGUUGGUGAGGUAAAGGCUCACCAAGGCAGCGAUCAGUAGCUGGUCUGAGAGGAUGACCAGCCACACUGGGACUGAGACACGGCCCAGACGCCUACGGGAGGCAGCAGUGGGGAAUUGUCCGCAAUGGGCGAAAGCAUGACGGAGCAAUACCGCGUGAGAGAAGAAGGCUCUUGGGUUGUAAACCUCUUUUCUUAGGGAAGAACAAAAUGACGGUACCUAAGGAAUCAGCAUCGGCUAACUCCGUG